rnacentral:rRNA from 1 species
GACGAACGCUGGCGGCGUGCUUAACACAUGCAAGUUGAACGAAGUGGCGGAUGGGCGAGUAACACGUGAGGAACCUGCCUUUCACAGGGGAAUAACACUGGGCAACCAGUGCUAAUACCGCAUAGUGAAAGAUGGCCUGUGGCCUGAUUAGCUAGUAGGGGCGGUAACGGCUCACUUAGGUGAUGAAAAGUAGCCGGUCGGAAGGUUGAUCGGCCGCAUUGGGACUGAGACACGGCCCAGACUCCUACGGGAGGAAGGAGUGGGGAAUAGUGGGCAAUGGCGCAAGCCUGACCCAGCAACGCCGCGGGAAGGAAGACGGUCUUCGGAUUGUAAACUUCUUUAGACAGGGACACGGUACCAUAAGAAAAAGCCCCGGCUAACUACGUGCCAGCAGCCGCGGUAAUAC